rnacentral:rRNA from 1 species
UACGUAGGGUGCGAGCGUUAAUCGGAAUUACUGGGCGUAAAGCGUGCGCAGGCGGUUUUGUAAGACAGAGGUGAAAUCCCCGGGCUCAACCUGGGAACUGCCUUUGUGACUGCAAGGCUGGAGUGCGGCAGAGGGGGAUGGAAUUCCGCGUGUAGCAGUGAAAUGCGUAGAUAUGCGGAGGAACACCGAUGGCGAAGGCAAUCCCCUGGGCCUGCACUGACGCUCAUGCACGAAAGCGUGGGGAGCAAACAGG